UACGGAGGGUGCAAACGUUGCUCGGAAUCAUUGGGCGUAAAGCGCACGUAGGCGGCCGAUUAAGUCGGAUGUGAAAGGCCCUGGGCUCCAACCCAGGAAGUGCAUUCGAAACUGACCGGCUUGAAUAUGGAAGAGGGUCGCGGAAUUCCCGGUGUAGAGGUGAAAUUCGUAGAUAUCGGGAGGAACACCAGUGGCGAAGGCGGCGACCUGGGCCAAUAUUGACGCUGAGGUGCGAAAGCGUGGGGAGCAAACAGG
rnacentral:rRNA from 1 species